GCCCCACUAGCUCAGUAAGGAAGAGCAGCGGUUUCCUAAACCGCGUGUCGCAGGUUCGAGUCCUGCGUGGGGCG
rfam:Candidatus Omnitrophica bacterium 4484_49 ex4484_49_scaffold_15887, whole genome shotgun sequence.